rnacentral:rRNA from 1 species
GGCGAGCUGCGGCGGCCUAAUACAUGCAAGUCGAGCGGACAGAUGGGAGCUUGCUCCCUGAUGUUAGCGGCGGACGGGUGAGUAACACGUGGGUAACCUGCCUGUAAGACUGGGAUAACUCCGGGAAACCGGGGCUAAUACCGGAUGCUUGAUUGAACCGCAUGGUUCAAUUAUAAAAGGUGGCUUUUAGCGUACCACUUACAGAGUGGACCCGCGGCGCAUUAGCUCAGUUGGUGAGGUAACGGCUCACCAAGGCGACGAUGCGUAGCCGACCUGAGAGGGUGAUCGGCCACACUGGGACUGAGACACGGCCCAGACUCCUACGGGAGGCAGCAGUAGGGAAUCUUCCGCAAUGGACGAAAGUCUGACGGAGCAACGCCGCGUGAGUGAUGAAGGUUUUCGGAUCGUAAAACUCUGUUGUUAGGGAAGAACAAGUACCGUUCGAAUAGGGCGGUACCAGUUGACGGUACCUAACCAGAAAGCCACGGCUAACUACGUGCCAGCAGCCGCGGUAAUACGUAGGUGGCAAGCGUUGUCCGGAAUUAUUGGGCGUAAAGCGCGCGCAGGCGGUUUCUUAAGUCUGAUGUGAAAGCCCCCGGCUCAACCGGGGAGGGUCAUUGGAAACUGGGGAACUUGAGUGCAGAAGAGGAGAGUGGAAUUCCACUGUGUAGCGGUGAAAUGCGUAGAGAUCGUGGAGGAACACGCAGUGGCGAAGGCGACUCUCUGGUCUGUACACACUGACCGCUGAGGCGCGAAAGCGUGGGGAGCCCGAACAGGAUUAGAUACCCUGGUAGUCCACGCCGUAAACGAUGAGUGCUAAGUGUUAGAGGGUUUCCGCCCUUUAGUGCUGCAGCAAACGCAUU